GACGUGAGGGCGCGAGCGUUGUCCGGAUUUAUUGGGCGUAAAGAGCUCGUAGGCGGUUUGUCGCGUCGGAUGUGAAAGCCCGGGGCUUAACCCCGGGUCUGCAUUCGAUACGGGCAGACUGGAGUGUGGUAGGGGAGAUCGAAUUCCUGGUGUAGCGGUGAAAUGCGCAGAUAUCAGGAGGAACACCGGUGGCGAAGGCGGAUCUCUGGGCCAUUACUGACGCUGAGGAGCGAAAGCGUGGGGAGCGAACAGG
rnacentral:rRNA from 1 species